rnacentral:rRNA from 1 species
UACGUAGGGAGCAAGCGUUAUCCGGAUUUACUGGGUGUAAAGGGCGCGUAGGCGGGAUGGCAAGUCAGAUGUGAAAUCCAAGGGCUCAACCCUUGAACUGCAUUUGAAACUGUCGUUCUUGAGUACUGGAGAGGUUGACGGAAUUCCUAGUGUAGCGGUGAAAUGCGUAGAUAUUAGGAGGAACACCAGUGGCGAAGGCGGUCAACUGGACAGCAACUGACGCUGAGGCGCGAAAGCGUGGGGAGCAA